GCCGGGUGUGGUGGUGCACACCUGUAAUCCCAGCAUCUUGGGAAGCUGAGGCAGGAUGAUUCCAAGUUGAAAGCCAGCCUCAGAAAUUUUUCCAGGCCCCAAGCAACUUAGUGAGACCCUGUCUCAA
rnacentral:sRNA from 1 species